rnacentral:rRNA from 1 species
AGCUACAGGCUUAACACAUGCAAGUCGAGGGGCAGCAUGGUCUUAGCUUGCUAAGGCCGAUGGCGACCGGCGCACGGGUGAGUAACACGUAUCCAACCUGCCGUCUACUCUUGGACAGCCUUCUGAAAGGAAGAUUAAUACAAGAUGGCAUCAUGAGUCCACAUGUUCACAUGAUUAAAGGUAUUCCGGUAGACGAUGGGGAUGCGUUCCAUUAGAUAGUAGGCGGGGUAACGGCCCACCUAGUCUUCGAUGGAUAGGGGUUCUGAGAGGAAGGUCCCCCACAUUGGAACUGAGACACGGUCCAAACUCCUACGGGAGGCAGCAGUGAGGAAUAUUGGUCAAUGGGCGAGAGCCUGAACCAGCCAAGUAGCGUGAAGGAUGACUGCCCUAUGGGUUGUAAACUUCUUUUAUAAAGGAAUAAAGUCGGGUAUGGAUACCCGUUUGUAUGUACUUUAUGAAUAAGGAUCGGCUAACUCCGUGCCAGCAGCCGCGGUAAUACGGAGGAUCCGAGCGUUAUCCGGAUUUAUUGGGUUUAAAGGGAGCGUAGAUGGAUGUUUAAGUCAGUUGUGAAAGUUUGCGGCUCAACCGUAAAAUUGCAGUUGAUACUGGAUAUCUUGAGUGCAGUUGAGGCAGGCGGAAUUCGUGGUGUAGCGGUGAAAUGCUUAGAUAUCACGAAGGACUCCGAUUGCGAAGGCAGCCUGCUAAGCUGCAACUGACAUUGAGGCUCGAAAGUGUGGGUAUCAAACAGGAUUAGAUACCCCGGUAGUCCACACGGUAAACGAUGAAUACUCGCUGUUUGCGAUAUACAGCAAGCGGCCAAGCGAAAGCGUUAAGUAUUCCACCUGGGGAGUACGCCGGCAACGGUGAAACUCAAAGGAAUUGACGGGGGCCCGCACAAGCGGAGGAACAUGUGGUUUAAUUCGAUGAUACGCGAGGAACCUUACCCGGGCUUAAAUUGCAGAUGAAUUACGGUGAAAGCCGUAAGCCGCAAGGCAUCUGUGAAGGUGCUGCAUGGUUGUCGUCAGCUCGUGCCGUGAGGUGUCGGCUUAAGUGCCAUAACGAGCGCAACCCUUGUUGUCAGUUACUAACAGGUUCCGCUGAGGACUCUGACAAGACUGCCAUCGUAAGAUGUGAGGAAGGUGGGGAUGACGUCAAACCAGCACGGCCCUUACGUCCGGGGCUACACACGUGUUACAAUGGGGGGUACAGAGGGCCGCUACCACGCGAGUGGAUGCCAAUCCCAAAAACCUCUCUCAGUUCGGACUGGAGUCUGCAACCCGACUCCACGAAGCUGGAUUCGCUAGUAAUCGCGCAUCAGCCACGGCGCGGUGAAUACGUUCCCGGGCCUUGUACACACCGCCCGUCAAGCCAUGGGAGCCGGGGGUACCUGAAGUGCGUAACCGCGAGGAGCGCCCUAGGGUAAAACUGGUGACUGGGGCU